rnacentral:tRNA from 1 species
AAUUCAGUAGCUCAAUAGGAUAGAGCAAUGGUCGUCUAAACCAUCGGUAGCGGGUUCAAAUCCCGUCUGAUCUU